rnacentral:rRNA from 1 species
GGGGGGGGGGGGGGGGGGGGGGGGGGGGGGGAGGGCGGGGGGCGGGGCCGUGAGGGGGGGCGCGUACGGGGGGGGCGGGGCGGACGGGUGCGGGAGAGGUCGGCAUCUACGUUUGCGGGGGGGGUGAGGUCGGGAGCCUUACGCUGAGACCGCCUGCGAGCUACGGGUGCACGCAGGGGAGGUUCGGACCUUGCGCCAUUGAAGGCGCCGAGGUCGGAGUAGCUAGCUGGCGGGGGAAAGGCCCACCAAGGCGACGCUCCGUAGCUGGACUGCGAGGAUGAUCAGCCACACUGGAACUGAGACACGGUACAGACUCCUACGGGAGGCAGCAGUGGGGAAUAUUGGACAAUGGGCGCAAGCCUGAUCCAGCCAUCCCGCGUGGGUGAAGAAGGCCUUCGGGUUGUAAAGCCCUUUUGUUGGGAAAGAAAAGCAGCAGGUUAAUACCCCGCUGUUCUGCCGGUACCCAAAGAAUAAGCACCGGCUAACUUCGUG